rnacentral:lncRNA from 1 species
GUCUGAGCUCACACUCUCCUUGGGUGGGUCUUGCUGCAGCUGCUAUGGGGGUUGGGGGUGAGGUUCCCAGGUCAACAGGGUUACAUUCUUAGGAGGAUUAUGAUGUUCUUUACUGUGUCAUGCAGGUUGACAGGGAAGUGGGGGAAAGCCGGCAGUCCCAGGCCUCACCCAGCUCCCACACAAUCUGAAGGGCCGGUCUCACUCCCACCAUGACCUCCACCCAACAGCACUGAGUCUGUUUCCACGUAGUGGGUGAGCAGGUCUGAGAACUUGCCCCAGGCUACCCACCUCCCAGCUGUGAAAGCAAAUAUGGCUUUUUUUUCUUCUCCCACCUGUGGAGUCUGCACACCAGAUUCAUGCCCUCCCUCGAGUUCUGGCUAGGAGGCUUCUCAGUCACUUCAAAUUGUUACAAAGUUCAGCUGGAGAUUUCCUUCUCCCUGUAGCCUUUCCCAAUGCCUCUGUCUGCCCUCCCAAAAGACCUCUGUGAGGCCAGGCAAAAACGGCUUGUUAGGGGACCCAGUGAGCUCCCAGUGCUUUUCCUGCUGCUUCUCCUAACACUGUAUGUUUCUUGGCUCUCUAAACUCACUCAGCUCCAGAUGCCUCUGAGUCAUUUAAAGUCAAUGGCCACAAUUUCCUUGGCAUUUUCUCCUCCCUUGGCUUCCAUAACAUUUCUUGAAGUCAUUUCUUUUACCUCUGUGGCUUUUUUUGUUACUUCUUUGCAAGUUUUGCCAGAACUGAAGAGGCCUUGCAAUUGUGAAGAGAAAAAUGCAGCAGUGAGUUGGAACUGACGACCAGAGAACAGUUGGGAGGGCAGUCAUGCUGGAUGUCAGCAGGGCAAUGAUGACAACCCCAACACCUUGGCACAAUGUAGCCCUUCUGGGACUAUGGGCACAAGUGAAACUGAAGUAGGGGGGAAGCCUGAAUCAACUGAGAUUAAUUUUUCACACCUAGGGAAACGGGAACUCAAAAUUAAAAUUAAAUUUAGUUGUGAAAAUACAAUUACGUUGUAUCUUGGCAAAUCUCAGAUUAUGCG